rnacentral:rRNA from 1 species
ACAGAUAAGGAGCUUGCUCCUUUGACGUUAACGGCGGACGGGUGAGUAACACGUGGGUAACCUACCUAUAAAACUGGAAUAACUCCGGGAAACCGGGGCUAAUGCCGGAUAACAUUUAGAACCGCAUGGUUCUAAAGUGAAAGAUGGUUUUGCUAUCACUUAUAGAUGGACCCGCGCCGUAUUAGCUAGUUGGUAAGGUAACGGCUUACCAAGGCAACGAUACGUAGCCAACCUGAGAGGGUGAUCGGCCACACUGGAACUGAGACACGGUCCAGACUCCUACGGGAGGCACCAGUAGGGAAUCUUCCGCAAUGGGCGAAAGCCUGACGGAGCAACGCCACGUGAGUGAUGAAGGGUUUCGGCUCGUAAAACUCUGUUAUUAGGGAAGAACAAACGUGUAAGUAACUGUGCACGUCUUGACGGUACCUAAUCAGAAAGCCACGGCUAACUACGUGCCAGCAGCCGCGGUAAUACGUAGGUGGCAAGCGUUAUCCGGAAUUAUUGGGCGUAAAGCGCGCGUAGGCGGUUUCUUAAGUCUGAUGUGAAAGCCCACGGCUCAACCGUGGAGGGUCAUUGGAAACUGGGAGACUUGAGUGCAGAAGAGGAUAGUGGAAUUCCAUGUGUAGCGGUGAAAUGCGCAGAGAUAUGGAGGAACACCAGUGGCGAAGGCGACUUUCUGGUCUGUAACUGACGCUGAUGUGCGAAAGCGUGGGGAUCAAACAGGAUUAGAUACCCUGGUAGUCCACGCCGUAAACGAUGAGUGCUAAGUGUUAGGGGGUUUCCGCCCCUUAGUGCUGCAGCUAACGCAUUAAGCACUCCGCCUGGGGAGUACGACCGCAAGGUUGAAACUCAAAGGAAUUGACGGGG